rnacentral:lncRNA from 1 species
AGAAAAGAAAAGAAAAAAGAAAAAGAGAGAGGGAUCAAGGUGAAAACCCGAAAAGGGCGUCUUGAUUAACACAAAAGAUUAGGAUGAAAACCCUAAAGGGCGUUCUAAUGAAGCAAGCACUGGCUUAAAAAGUAAGGCGUUUUGAACGGUGGGUCAAACAGAGAGACUACAGUAUUUGAAGCAUUUUUGAAAACUCAAAAUCUC